GGCCUUCCCCUUCCCACUUGUCCUACCAGAUGAGACUUUUACUGUUGCUGCUGCUGCUUCAGUAAACAGGUAGUAAUCAAACGCCUCGGCGAAGGGCACAAUUUGAAGAGAAUUAUUUUGUGUGAAUUCCCAUGCCAGUGUUUGCGAGAAUCUUGAUGGUUUAUACUGAAGUUCUCAGUAUGCUAAUGCAAAGCUUACCUUUGACGAUAUUGAAUGUGAUAUAUCUAUAGAGAAGAACUUCCUUGCCUUACGUAAGGAUAGUAAACUUAUUUAAAUUAUGUAGACAAAUCAAAGUGGCAUUGCUUAACCUUCUAGCCGGUGUGAAAACCAGGUUAAACAGCAAAGAUGCAAAACUUAGGUCACUUUGAAAAUUUAAACCAAAGUUCCUUAUAGAAAUAGGCAAUUGUGGAUUUGAAAACUGGUCAUUCCCUGUUUAUACAUAAGAAGUUCAGAGCUGAGUUAAGGAAGUAUUUUCAACAUGCAGAUUUUUAUUGGUGCUGUUUGAAAUCACUCUGCGCACCAAAGUCAGACUGAACUGCGAAGAGCACAUACCAAACCCUAUCUUAUUGCUGAAAGCUUAAGGUUUUAUUUUUAUAUAUUAGAAUGUUAUCACUAUUACAUAACAUACUCAGGACAAAGAACUUUGCUCAGGGAAUAUACCAUGGAAUGUUGUUUUUUCUUUACAGAAUAGUCUACAGACCUCCUUACUCAGAACAAACCAAAUAGUCUUAGACCUUUUUAUCUCUAUAUAAGUAUUAUGUACUGAUAUUAGUAACUACCUCUGAGUUGACAUAGAUCUACAUUUCUGAUAAUCAGAUCUCAGCAUUUUGUAUUAUAAGUUCCUGUGAAAUGAUAAAGUGGUAUUCUGUACUGGUUACUUAUGUGAACAUUUGUGUCUUUACAUUCACAGGGUCUGAGUUUUCAGAGAUGCUGGGCAACCACAGCUCUCACUGACUUCCAGUCAGAGUUACUGGUGCUUCGCUUUUCUAGGAGGGGAGGGAUGAGGGAUGGGGGGUGGAGGGGAAAGAAUAAAAACACAAGAGCAUCAAGCCCACUUUGUUUACAUAGGUGACAAUAAAAUUAUUAUUCUGUUUACAGCAAAAGGCUACCUCAUAUUUACUGCAUAAACACACCUUUGUGCUGCUCUAGCCUUAAAGGUGGCUGUUGAUCUAUGGUACAUACUUUUUAUCUGUACUAAAUAUGUAACUGAUAGUUCACCACUGCAUACAUUAUGGCAAAUACUUGUUUAAGAUGAAGCAUCCGUUUGAAAUUAUGAGACGUUUCCAAACAUUUCUUUGAAAGCUUUUAUUUUUCUGUCUAAAGGAUUAUGGGCACUGUUCAUGAAAAUAAAUACAUCUACAGAAGAGACAAAAAUGUACAUGCCUAAGUUAAACAUAUAGCAGUGCAAGCUGCAGCAGGUAACUACUGGACACUGGGCUGCAGUAGGAAAAAAAACCCCCAACUAUCUAAUUAUACACCUUCAGCUCCAGAUAAGAACCCUUUAAAGGAGGAGGCACAGGCUCAGUUUCAGAUUCUUCCUUUAUGUCUCAGGACAAAAUGAAUAUUCUGCAGCAUUGGCUCAGCCUAUUCACCAGCCUGUCCUUGCCAGAAUGCUUCACAAUAAAACUCAUUUGAGUAGAAAUAGUUCAAAUGUCUGCUCAGAGAGAUGUAUUUUUCUCCUAAUAAUAGUGGAGAUAGCUAAGGUUAAACCUGGAACAAGAAUCUCCCUCCCAUUCCCCCACCCCAAAAUACUCAAUUUGAUUUAAUUAUAAGGGACAUUGUGAGGUAUUUUUUACUCUCCCCCAAGGAGAGGUCAUGGUAUUUAUUUACAUGCUACAAAAGUUAGGCCAUGAGGAAGACUUGUAUUUGGAGGAGGAGGAGCCAAAUAGCUUUUCACUGCAGUUGAUGGUAAAUCUGGCGUUGCAAUACCAUUUGCAAAAUUCUGCUUUUAGCCAGCUUUCAGGGAGUGCCAAACACCACAUUUGGAUCCUACCUUUUCCCUUUGCAGGCCACCUUUUUCAGCCCAGUUCUACUCUGCACCAGUGUUAUCCUGGAGUUCCUGCUUAGUCAUACUUUUAGUUUUGUGAAUAGAGCCCCAUAAAAAGUGUUUAUAAAUCUUGUAACAUUCUUUGUAAGAAGAAUUAUAAAAGAACAUGGGAAAUCUCAUCUUAAAUUUAAUUUAAUUAAUUUAUCUGUAAGAAAUGUUUAUCAUAAAAAAUAUAUAUGUAUUCCCCUGUGCUAGAUAUAAAAGUAAUUGGGAAGAUAUGUACAUGUGCAGAUGCACUGAUUUUAAUUUUCUAGAAGUCUUAAUGAGAUUUGAGUAUUGUUUUAGAAACAAGCAGAGCCUUGUUAAAUGCAUCGAUCUUAUUUUGCCUAGUAUAUCAACAGCCUCUUCUUUAAGAUCCGUUGGUUGUGUACCCCUGUUACAACUGUUGACUGAUAACAAGAGGUUGAUUUAUGAACACAUGUUUCUGUUUUUUAUAUAAACCGGAGAUGUAUAUUAAGCAGCUUCGGCAGUGCUUUUAUGAGAAUGUCAAGAAGUACCUAGGUAUUUGCUACCAUUGUCGUGGAACCAAACGUAAGAACAACUAUCUUUACAAAGGAUAAUGGUUUUGACUACCUCUUGGAUUACUAAGUUAAGCAACAACUGGCUGACAAACAUCACCAGACUGGCUUAAACUAGUAUGUGUUGCUUGUGGUAAUAAUAACAAUAACCAUACUAGAGACCAAAGUGAACACUGAUUUCUAUAUGUCUUUAGUACUGUGUCUUAUCUAGUGUUUUUAAAUUAUCUUCUGUAGUAUAGAUUACCUCAUUGUCCAUUUUGACUUGUAUGUUGUUUACAAGGUGAAAUAAAAGAAAAAUCACUUGAAUUUUAAGUUUUAAGAAAAAGACAGUGAGUUGAAGUUUUGAAGGUCAUUUCACCUGUUUACUGUCUUGAGGGACUAAAGCACUGAUUGCCUUUCUACAUAUCAUGUAUUUUAUAUUCUCAUUUCAUGCCUAAUGUCUUUUUUUCCUGUCAGUCAUGGAUAUUGUGAGGUUUAAAAAAAUUACUUGAUUAAAAAUAAAACAUAUAACGUUGGCAUUUACA
rnacentral:lncRNA from 1 species